GAGUUUGAUCCUGGCUCAGGAUGAACGCUAGCGGGAGGCCUAACACAUGCAAGCCGAGCGGUAUUGUUUCUUCGGAAAUGAGAGAGCGGCGUACGGGUGCGGAACACGUGUGCAACCUGCCUUUAUCUGGGGGAUAGCCUUUCGAAAGGAAGAUUAAUACUCCAUAAUAUAUUGAACGGCAUCGUUUAAUAUUGAAAGCUCCGGCGGAUAGAGAUGGGCACGCGCAAGAUUAGCUAGUUGUGAGGUAACGGCUCACCAAGGCAAUGAUCUUUAGGGGGCCCGAGAGGGUGAUCCCCCACACUGGUACUGAGACACGGACCAGACUCCUACGGGAGGCAGCAGUGAGGAAUAUUGGUCAAUGGGUGCAAGCCUGAACCAGCCAUCCCGCGUGAAGGACGACUGCCCUAUGGGUUGUAAACUUCUUUUGUAUAGGGAUAAACCUUUCCACGUGUGGAAAGCUGAAGGUACUAUACGAAUAAGCACCGGCUAACUCCGUG
rnacentral:rRNA from 1 species